rnacentral:sRNA from 1 species
GCCGGGUAUGGUAGCGUAUGCCUGUGAUGCCAGUGGCUCAGGAGGCUGAGACAGGAGGAUGGCAAGUUCAAAGCCAGCCUCAGCAAAAACGAAGCACUAAGCAACUCAGUGAGACCCUGUCUCUA